CCUCUUCUUCUAUCGGUUCAAUCAUAAGAAGUCCCUCUUUACUACAGCGAUGCUCAUGGCUCCACGGCUCGUCACAAUGCCAACAUAACCCCUUCGCAUAUCGCUCCCGAAGCUCUUCUCUUGUUAACCUCUUUGGUGUAGGGACUUGGUCGACAGUAGGAGGGGCUGAGGGCUUCAAUAUUACUGGUUGAGGAGUGACCCUAGUCCUCCGAGCUUCAUGGUUCAAUUGCUCCUCUUGAUGUCGUGUGAAAGAGAUGGCUGCCAUAAGCGUA
rnacentral:lncRNA from 1 species